GGGAGAUGCCCGCGUUCUUCGCGGUUUACCGGAUCUUUCAGUUUUCUUGAAGAUCACUCCGCGACACACGCUGCAGCGCUGUCGUUCAGGCAGGAGAUGACGCGCUGUCAGCCACUGACUUGUCAUUCCUACUCGCCAUCAUUCACUGUUGUCAUCAAAUGGACUCAUGCUAGCCACAAGUUCUGACCGCAUUGUCAUGAAACGCACAUACAGCGAUGAGUUUCUCUCUCUUUCAUACGAACUUAGAACGAGGAGCGCCCACAAUGUGUUUUGUGUGUGGAAGUGCUUAGUAAUGAGACUCGCAUAACCGAACAAAUUAAUAAAACGACACAUCCUGACCAAACAUCCACAGCAUGAUGGUAAACCCAGGGAGUUCUUUCAGAUCAAGGCAGAAUGCUCCCGAAAACAGUGCUUCGAUAGUGGGAAAAAUGCUGAUGUCUUUGCCCUUGCCUUGGAAUUAUGGGAAAUAAAUAAGAGAUCCUGAAGCUCCUCCUCCUCAUCCUUGUGUGACAGCCAAUGGGAAGACGGGUUGCACUGGUCACACCUCUGAAGCACUUUGGAAGGACUGAUGGAAAACCUUUUAUUUUUUUUCUUUCAGUUUAUUGGUUGUGAUGACCAAUGUGGAUGCGUGCCAAUGAUAUUCUGAAAACCUAUUGGUUGCACUUAGCCUGAGAAGGGAGGACUCUAAGCCAAUCAGAGAAGAGUAUGAAGACUGACUGCUGACUGGGAGCCAAUGAUAUUUUUCGAUCAUCAGCUUAAAUGGAACCCCAAUUAACCAAUCAAAAAUAAGGAUUUAAUCUAAUGACGGCUGAAUAUACAAAGUAUAAAAACAAAAUAUAUAGAAAUAUAUAUCUGCUCAAGUGCCUCAUUUUUUGAUUGUAGACAUUCUACAAAGAACUUCAACUUAGCAUUGACUAAGGAAGUGAAGAAGUUUCAGUAUUUGUGCUUGUUUGAAGUAGCACUAUGUUGUGGCAGGUGUAAGAAUAAUAAGGAUGAUGAUGAUGAUUAAAAUACCAAUUAGCUGGCCUUACUGUCUUACUGUGAGAGAUGUUGGCAGCAUAGCUUCUAUUCGCUUUAAGCUCAUUGCUUUAAGCUCAUGUAACUGACAGAUUUCUCCCUAUCUCUCUCCCUCUCUCUCCCUCAAAAUCUCUAUCUCUCUCUGCCCAUACCUCUCAUCCAAGAUUGCAGUAUUCUAUAUCACAUACCAACCCGCCCACAUACUUUACAAAAAGACAGUCACCCUUCACCGGGAAUACUGUCUCUGGCACUGGACAAUAUGUAUUUAACACACAAAGACAAACACUUGGCACUUGUUGCAGGUAAAGACAGGUGCUCUGUUCUAAAAUCUACAUUACCAUACCACUUGGAAUGAAGUGAUGUGUUGUGGAAUGCAUGCAUUCUGAUGUAUUGGCGGAUAGUCAGAGGCACACACUCAGACAUAAUUUACAAACGAAGGAUUUGUGUUUAGUGAGUCCGCCAGAUCAGAGGCAGUAUGGAUGACCAGGGAUGUUCUCUUGAUAAGUGUCAAAAUGUAAUUACUUUUGAGUACUUUUGGGUGUCAGAGAAAAUGUAUGGAGUAACAAGUACAUUAUUUUCUUUAGGAAUGUAGUGAAGUAAAAGUCUGCAAAAAUAUAAAUAGUAAAGUACAGAUACCCCAAAAAACGACUUAAGUAGUAUUUUUACUUAAGUACUUUACACCACUGAGUGGUGUAAAUGGGCUCCUGUGGAUGUUCGAACAUAGCCAUUCAAAAUAGGGGUAAGAUGAGCUCAACCACUCAACAUACCCCAUUCUCCUCUACCUGGGUUGGUCAGAUUAUUAUAGCAUUGUGCUAGGUAGAUGGUAAAUCCCUCAGCAUUGUGCUAGGUAGGUGGUAAAUGGAUAGUGUUGCUGAUCACAGCUCAGAUAUAGGUAUGACAUUAUUAUCCUACUCAAUCCAAUUAUCAGAUAAAACGUUAGCAUCUAUUAUCUCAAGACAGUUGCAGGUCUUUUCAUCCCCAUCGUGUCAGGAGCCUGUUAAGCGAUAGGAUGGUAGAGUAUAGUGUCCAUAGAGAUAACGGAGGCGCUGACAUUAGCUGUGCUAACUAUAGCCCUUGCUAAUGUCGUCUUGUCUAACAUCUGGAUUUGAUAACAUGGGCCUUGCUAGCUGCGGGGAACAUGCUAACUUCAGCCUAGUUAGCAAAGUAUUUUGUUAGGGGGCAUAGAUGGCCACAACCCUCUUUUCUGUUUCUCAUUCUCCCUUUUUCUCUUUCUUUUUGUCUCUUACUUUAAACUCUUUCUGCUACUUUAAACUCUUUCUGCUAUGCAUUAGCACUAAAGUGCCUGUCUGUAUGUCUGUCAGUCUGUUCCUUUCUUCCCCUUUAGCACUAUCAGGGCUAUCCUCUCAAAAUAUAUAUAGUCUAUUUUUAUGUAUAUUUUUCUUUUAGCGUAUGUACAAUAUUGUGUAACCUCAAGGUACCCUUCCCUUAUUGAGGUUUCAAUUAUGAUGUUCAAGGAUGUAGUGACCCAUGAAAUGACUUGACCAAUUGCCCCUGACUUCAUCACGUGUUUGUAUUGGGUUGGUGCUGGAAAAUGUAGGCCCAGAGGAGGACCCCAUUGAGGACCUCGUCUAUGGAUGGCUGUAUUAGUGCCAAAACAAAAAUACGCUGUGACUCUUUCCGACAAUACAUUAAAAAGCUACAGUAGCUGCUUUGAAUAGCUACUAUGAGCUCUCAAGUUCUGACGUUUUAUAUUUUUCUUGGUUGUUAAAUGCUAUUAUAACCUUGCCUGCUCUCUUGUUGUUUUCUUUACCGCCGUAAAAACAAAAAAACCUGUCUUGGAUGCUUUGAGACAUCUUGCCUCAUAGUUUGCCUCUGGGACACUUAUGAAAUUGUACUAAAUUAUCAAUACUUACUGUAAGUUGCCAAUAUGAGCAAUCACAGAAAGAGAAAAAUAGGGGGGGAACACCUUUAAACAGAACGAAAUGUGUCUGUCCAUUUCACUACCACCACAUUUGUAUAUGGGCUGGCUGUCUUAUACACUUCCUUCUCAUUUGAGUCACGUGACUUUUGGUAGCAUAACAAAGCGGCUUCAUUGCUACCAGAUUGGGAUCUGUGGUCAGGACAAUUGGCCAUAAUGGUUUCCAAUGCAGAGGUGGGGUUAGGAAAGUAGUUUGACUCCAACCUCACUGUGCCGGGUUUGUUUCUGUUUACUGCAUGGCACAAAGAGGCAGCAACGCACACACACAUUAAACACAAACAGUGUUUUGGAAAUUUUAUAUUUUUCUCAUAAUGACUCAACAAUCUUCCAAAUUAAAGCCAGAUCCUAGGUUCCAGUAAUAUGGGGAAAAACACACAAAAACACACUUAGUGCAAGAGUUCAUUCUGAAAUCAAAGUUAAAUCCAACACUUUAUGGCCUCAAAAGUGGACAAUGCCCAUGAGCUUGUUCGCUGUUGAGGUCUAGAUGACAAACUUGAAUUUUGGAGUGAAGUGUCACUUUAAUUUUUAGAGAAGCAAGGUACUUGGAGGCAAGAGUGUCAUGUCUCCAUUUAACAUACCUACAGUGGCGACCCAUCAUUCAGGGCAGGUGGGGCAGAGCCCCACCUGUUUUAGCCCCACCUGUUAAGCUAAAAAAAUAUAUACUUUUUUAGUUUUAUCUGUUUUGCAUGUUAUUUUGGCAUUAGUACAUGUCACAUCAGUUUGCAAACAAUGUAAAAGAAAAAUCAUUGAGUUAAUAAAGCUGCAUAAAAA
ensembl:lncRNA